ensembl:lncRNA
CACACACACACACCUCCUGUGCUCUUGUGUCCUUUGUGCCACUGUACUCUAUGCCCCUCACUGCACACACCCACAAACACACACACACACACACACUCACACUCACACACACACACAACUCUUCUCCUCUUCUGACAGCUUUGAGAAGGAGUCAGACCCCACACAGAUCUCUGGGGAGCCUCAGCAUCCUCCCCUCCACUGUCCCCACACGUGUGUGUGUGUGUGUGUGUGUGUGAGCCUCAGCAUCCUCCCCUCCACUGUCCUCACACGUGGCACAUUUACAGUGUUUACAGCAUUCUCAACUCAGAAGGAAUACAAUCAACAACUACAAUAUUUUUCUUUUUUCUUUUUUUUGUCCAUAUAUUUGUCUCCCCACAUCCAUUCUUUCAUUUGAAUCUUCUCCAUUUGUAGUGUCACAUGGAAAGAGCUGGGGCCUCACAGAAGGCAGGGGCUGGGGCCUCACUGAAGGCAGGGGCUGGGGCCUCACAAGAGGCAGGGGCAGGGGCCUCACAAGAGGCAGGGGCUGGGGGGUCUCGGUUCGUCCAGGAGGAUCAGGUUAUCGGGGUGCCUCCUGCUGACCUCUGACCUGCAAGCGUCCGUUGGAGAUGGGGGGCAGCCAGCCCCAAAUUUCCGCUGCUCUGAGGGGGACGCCCCAACACCAGGUUCAUCUGACACCAUACUAUCAUCUAGGGGGGGUACCAACACAGUUAACACACACACACACACACACACACACACAC